ACGGAGGGUGCAAGCGUUAUUCGGAAUUACUGGGCGUAAAGGGCGUGCAGGCGGGAGAGCAAGUCUGGUGUGAAAGCCCGGGGCUUAACCCCCGAAGGGCAUUGGAAACUGCUUUUCUUGAGUUCUGGAGAGGAAGGGAGAAUUCCCGGUGGAGAGGUGAAAUGCGAAGAGAGCGGGAGGGACAUCAGUGGCGAAGGCGCCCGUCUGGACAGCAACUGCCGCUGAGACGCGAAAGCGUGGUGAGCAAACAG
rnacentral:rRNA from 1 species